UGCAUGUUUUUUUAAAGGGGAAGAAAAAGAGCGCGUAAAAAUUAUAUUAGACUGCUGUGGUUUUUAUGCAGAAAGUGGAAUCCGUAGUCUGCUUGAUAAGUCUCUAGUAACUAUUUUCAUGGAGAGGUUGCAGAUGCAUGACUUAUUACAACAAAUGGGUAAGGAUAUUGUUUGCGAGGAAAAAGAGCCUAGAAAGCGUAGCAGGUUGUGGAAU
rnacentral:misc_RNA from 1 species